rnacentral:rRNA from 2 species
GCAGUCGAGCGGACAGAAGGGAGCUUGCUCCCGGAUGUUAGCGGCGGACGGGUGAGUAACACGUGGGUAACCUGCCUGUAAGACUGGGAUAACUCCGGGAAACCGGAGCUAAUACCGGAUAGUUCCUUGAACCGCAUGGUUCAAGGAUGAAAGACGGUUUCGGCUGUCACUUACAGAUGGACCCGCGGCGCAUUAGCUAGUUGGUGAGGUAACGGCUCACCAAGGCGACGAUGCGUAGCCGACCUGAGAGGGUGAUCGGCCACACUGGGACUGAGACACGGCCCAGACUCCUACGGGAGGCAGCAGUAGGGAAUCUUCCGCAAUGGACGAAAGUCUGACGGAGCAACGCCGCGUGAGUGAUGAAGGUUUUCGGAUCGUAAAGCUCUGUUGUUAGGGAAGAACAAGUGCAAGAGUAACUGCUUGCACCUUGACGGUACCUAACCAGAAAGCCACGGCUAACUACGUGCCAGCAGCCGCGGUAAUACGUAGGUGGCAAGCGUUGUCCGGAAUUAUUGGGCGUAAAGGGCUCGCAGGCGGUUUCUUAAGUCUGAUGUGAAAGCCCCCGGCUCAACCGGGGAGGGUCAUUGGAAACUGGGAAACUUGAGUGCAGAAGAGGAGAGUGGAAUUCCACGUGUAGCGGUGAAAUGCGUAGAGAUGUGGAGGAACACCAGUGGCGAAGGCGACUCUCUGGUCUGUAACUGACGCUGAGGAGCGAAAGCGU